rnacentral:rRNA from 1 species
CGAAAUGCCUUUUGGGGCAGCGUUGUAAUAAAGAGUCUACUGGAGGUAGAGCUACUGAUUGGAUGCGGGGGCUUCACCGCCUACCAAAUCCUGACAAACUCCGAAUGCCAGUAGUAUGAUUUACAGCAGUGAGUGACUGGGUGCUAAUGUCCAGUCGCAAAAGAGGAACAACUCAGACCAGCAACUAAGGUCCCGAAGAAUAUGCUAAGUUGAUCUAACGAUGUUUUGUUGCAGAGACAGCUAGGAUGUUAGCUUGGAAGCAGCUAUUCAUUCAAAGAGUGCGUAACAGCUCACUAGUCGAGCGACAGAGCGUGGAUAAUAAACGGGCAUCAAGCAUAUCACCGAAGUUCUGGGCGCGAGAGCGCGGUAGGGGAGCAUUCCAUUCAGCGUCGAAGCAGUUUCGUGAGGAAUUGUGGAGCGUAUGGAAAAGCAAAUGUAGGCAUGAGUAACGAUAAUGCGGGAGAGUAACCCGCACACCGCAAGACCAAGGUUUCCUGAUCAACGCUAAUCGGAUCAGGGUUAGUCGGGUCCUAAGGGUAAGCCGAACGGCGAUCUCGAUGGAUAAUCGGUUAAUAUUCCGAUACUAACAUAUACCUCGAUGGAGAGACGAAGGAACGUAAGUGCCGCCACCUGACGGAAUAGGUGGUUAAAGGGCGUAGGUAUAGGGGCAGAUUAAGAGUUAGUCCUUGCUGAAACCUGACAGUACAGAGAGCCUACGGGCAAUUUGAUAGUGCACCCAAGUCGACUUCCGAGAAAAUCUUCUAAGUUAUAGUAUAUGUUACCCGUACCGUAAACCGACACAGGUGGUCGAGGAGAGUAUCCUAAGGUGCUCGAGUGAAUCACGGUUAAGGAACUAGGCAAAUUAACCCCGUAACUUCGGGAAAAGGGGUCCCUAUGAAAGUAGGGCGCAGCGAAGAGGUCCAGGCGACUGUUUAUCAAAAACACAGGGCUCUGCAAAUUCGAAAGAAGACGUAUAGGGCCUGACACCUGCCCGGUGCUGGAAGGUUAAGAGGGGAUGUCAUCGCAAGAGAAGCAUUGAAUCGAAGCCCCAGUAAACGGCGGCCGUAACUAUAACGGUCCUAAGGUAGCGAAAUUCCUUGUCGGGUAAGUUCCGACCUGCACGAAUGGUGUAAUGAUCCGGACGCUGUCUCAACCGUGAGCUCAGUGAAAUUGUAGUAUCGGUGAAGAUGCCGAUUACCCGCAACGGGACGAAAAGACCCCGUGAACCUUUACUAUAGCUUAACGCUGAAUUUGGGUACACAAUGUGUAGGAUAGGCCGGAGGCUUUGAAGCGGGCACGCCAGUGUUCGUGGAGCCGACGUUGAAAUACGGCCCUUUGUGUAUUUGAGUUCUAACCCUGCGAAGGGGACACCGUUUGGUGGGUAGUUUGACUGGGGUGGUCGCCUCCAAAAGCGUAACGGAGGCUUCCCAAGGUACCCUCAGCACGAAUGGUAACCGUGCGCGGAGUGCAAUAGCAUAAGGGUGCUUGACUGUGAGACAUACAAGUCGACCAGGUACGAAAGUAGGGUAUAGUGAUCCGGUGGUUCUGCGUGGACUGGCCAUCGCUCAAAGGAUAAAAGGUACUCCGGGGAUAACAGGCUGAUCGCCGCCAAGAGCUCAUAUCGACGCGGCGGUUUGGCACCUCGAUGUCGGCUCGUCACAUCCUGGGGCUGGAGAAGGUCCCAAGGGUUCGGCUGUUCGCCGAUUAAAGUGGCACGCGAGCUGGGUUCAGAACGUCGUGAGACAGUUCGGUCUCUAUCUGUUGCGGGCGUAGGAAGAUUGAGGGGUCCUGACUUUAGUACGAGAGGACCGAGUUGGACGAACCUCCGGUGUAUCGGUUAUGCUGCCAAGUGUACUGCCGAGUAGCCGCGUUCGGUCUGGAUAAGCGCUGAAAGCAUCUAAGCGCGAAGCCAUCCCCAAGAUAAGUCUUCCCUUGAGGGGCGUAGGAGACUACUACGUUGAUAGGCUGCAGGUGUAAAGACAGCAAUGUCAAAGCCGAGCAGUACUAAUUACCCGAUAGGCUUUCUUUUU